rnacentral:rRNA from 1 species
AAUCGAACCCGGAGAUAGCUGGUUCUCCUCGAAAUAGCUUUAGGGCUAGCCUCAUUUUAGUCUUAUGGAGGUAGAGCACUGAAUUUCCGCGGGGGCGUCAAAGCUUACCAAAGAAUAUCAAACUCCGAAUGCCAUGUAGAUGAUGAAUGGGAGUCAGACUGCACGAGAUAAGUUGGGUGGUCAAAAGGGAAAGAGCCCAGACCUACAGCUAAGGUCCCAAAGUGCGUGUUAAGUGGAAAAGGAUGUGGGAUUUCAAAGACAACCAGGAUGUUGGCUCAGAAGCAGCCAUACAUUCAAAGAGUGCGUAACAGCUCACUGGUCGAGAGGUCCUGCGCCGAAAAUGUCCGGGGCUGAAACACGACACCGAAGCUUAGGAAUCACAUAGUGAUUGGUAGAGGAGCAUUCUUAAAACCGACGAAGCUGUACCGGAAGGAGCAGUGGAGGGAUAAGAAGAGAGAAUGCCGGAAUGAGUAGCGAGAGGAAGGUGGGAAUCCUUCCGGCCGAAUAUCUAAGGUUUCCAGAGUAAAGCUGAUCUGCUCUGGGUAAGUCGGGGCCUAAGGAGAGGUCGAAAGACGUAUCCGAUGGACAACAGGUUUAGAUUCCUGUACCACAUAUAAACAGAACUGUGGGGACGCAUGUGGAAAGCAUAAGCCGGGAAUGGAAAUACCGGUACAAACGGAAGAGGUGUCAGGCUGGCAAAUCCGCCUGGCAAGCCAAAGACGUGAUGUGGAGCGAAAUAAAAGUAGCGAAGUAUGUGAGCCAUGUGCCGAGAAAAGCCGCUAUAGCUUUAUAUGUGCCCGUACCGUAAACCGACACAGGUGGAUGAGGAGAGAAUCCUAAGGCCGACGGAAGAAGCAUUGUUAAGGAACUCGGCAAAAUGACCCCGUAACUUCGGGAGAAGGGGUGCCCACUUCAGGGUGGGCCGCAGAGAAUAGGCUCAAGCAACUGUUUAGCAAAAACACAGGUCUAUGCGAAACCGUAAGGUGAAGUAUAUGGGCUGACGCCUGCCCGGUGCUGGAAGGUUAAGAGGAGAGGUUAGCGCAAGCGAAGCUUUGAAUUUAAGCCCCAGUAAACGGCGGCCGUAACUAUAACGGUCCUAAGGUAGCGAAAUUCCUUGUCGGGUAAGUUCCGACCCGCACGAAAGGCGUAAUGAUUUGAGCACUGUCUCGACAAUGCAUCCGGUGAAAUUGAAGUACCAGUGAAGAUGCUGGUUACCCGCGCCAGGACGGAAAGACCCCAUGGAGCUUUACUCCAGUUUGGUACUGGGAUUCGGUACUGCAUGUACAGGAUAGGUGGGAGACUGAGAAAUUGGAACGCCAGUUUCAAUGGAGUCACUGUUGGGAUACCACCCCUGCAGUAUUGGGUUUCUAACCAGCCGCUGUGAUCCAGCGGUGGGACAAUGCCAGGCGGGGAGUUUGACUGGGGCGGUCGCCUCCGAAAGGGUAUCGGAGGCGCUCAAAGGUUCCCUCAGAAUGGUCGGAAACCAUUUGAAGAGUGCAAAGGCAGAAGGGAGCUUGACUGCGACACCGACGG